rnacentral:lncRNA from 1 species
GCAUAAAAAUCCCUCAACAAUGCAUUUCUCGCAACAGCCCAAAAUGGGCAUUUUCGCGCUCGGGGACCGGUCCUUGCGGUGAGAGACCGGUCCCUGAGAGACCGGUCCUUGCGGUGAGAGACCGGUCCCCGAAGGUCCAGAACUCAGCCUCAAGGACUUAGCCAAAUUUUCAGCUUUUUCACCGUUUCUUCUCCGUUUUCGCCCGUUUUCGCUCGUUUGACCUCCGAUUCGUUUCAAAUCGAACCAAGACUCUUCAAACAUGUUUUCAAGCAUGUUUUCAUCAUCUUUUCAUCCACGCUAAUGCCGGAUUUAGCUCAUGGCCCAACAAAGCCUUUCGGCUCCGUUUUAGCGCCUACGCGCACCGAAGCGCCCGAAUGCUUCCGGGCCUCACCGAACUUCACCGGAACCUUUCAAAUGGUCUUCCAACCAAAUGUACACCGUAACUUCAUGAUUUUAGAAGUCCGAUACCUUACAUCCUCCCCUCCUUAAUAAGAGUUUCGUCCUCGAAACUAACUCACCUCAAACCCAAUUCACACCCUAAUUCUCUUUAUUGAAGUUCACAAAAGGACCCCUGAACAACAUGUGUUAGAACAACAAUCGGAACCCGCCUGUCCCCUCCACGACAGGCAGGCCGCAGACAAGCUGCGCGGGCCCGGCUUGGUUUAACCAUCGCCAGCGCCCCGCACUGUCUAUUUCACCAUAGUCUCUUUAAUUCUCGUUCAUUCUCGUUCAUUUCGCUCUUCAGAUCCUGACUGGAUCCACUGGGAUCCUGCCACUUGGGAUUCCAAUAUCCACGCACUCACUGCACUUGGAUACGCGACACCGCCUUCAACUUAACUAACCCAGUUCAAAACAUUUGGAGACUCUGCCUAUAAUCUCCAUUUGAGUUCCACACCACAUAAGAGUGGGUUCACACAAGUACAACCGCGCGCUGUUGUACUUUGGAUCACUACUCUUAUCCGUGGGAACAUACUGAAAGCGGACUAAGCUCAGUGCAACAGAUCAUCAACGCUGCUCUAAUUGCCCAAUUCCACUAAUUGGUUUAACAACGCAAAGUCCUCGAUACCGUGGUUUCUCUGCGGGGCACUGAUCUGGGUGAGACCGUGGUAGCGGGCUCCACGGGCUCGUCAGACCUAGACUUCUCCACGCUCUUAAUGCUCGCGUCUACUGAUGCGAAUAGCCGCACUAAGUUGCGGUUCCUUCAGUCUAGCUCGCCGAGGUUCUCGAAAACCUCGCUGUUCACCGCUGCCGCCGGCACUGCUGUUGAUUUCCGGUACCAGGCGGGCGCGGGAACCGAGUGCGCGGGUUGCGCGGACUCCCGCACUCGUAAAACCAUCGAGGCCGCCGCCGCGUAGGGGACGUCCGAUCACAGAGAGAACGCCGAAGCCCAGGAUACUAUGAGCUACGCCGUCGACCCCUUCAUUCUGUCCUUGCGUUCCGCAAGUUCCUCUCACCUCACUUCUCUGCUGGAGCACCACCAAGCCCCCUUGUCAGAUCAAGGUUUUUCCGGGGCUUCAUGGUUUUCGCCGCCAGGUGAUCUGUUCCUGGAUACGCCACGCACUAGACGCCACCUCUUGUAGCGCGCCCCUUAAUAUCCUUAGCCCGCCCCGCCACGGAGUUCACACCAGUUCGCCCUGUAUACCGGGCAGUCACGCGCUUUCCUCACGGUGGACGGGGCAGUCAACGUAGGCGGAGUCUCUAAGUCGCUGUCAGACCACCUCAAAGCAGAUGAUGGCGGCAUAGACGCCCCACACACUAAACACCUCCUAGGGUGGUCCGCGCCGCCACACGUGACGCUCUCCCUUCCACAAAAGCAACACCCGUCAGACCGGUGUACUUCAUACUAACGGGGAACCUGCUACCUGCUGAGGGCGGCUGUCGCAGCUGUAAGUGGAGAAGCCCUGUCUACCACCUACACGUCGGACACCGUGUCAGACCUCCCGACCCCCACCAGCUCGUCGGCCUCCUAAGUGUCCUCCGCGGUUCGCCGGGACCUAUGCGCCGAGUACAGCUCCCUGGACGACGACAACCACUACAAUGGCGUCCAUACUAAAUUAAUUUCGUUAGUAUGUAAGAUAGUACUUCAUCAACUCGUUAACAUACGUAAACGAACACCAGAAAAUGAUAAUAAAUGUAUAAUCAUAUCAUCUCUGGUCCUACGUCCAAUCUCCUCAAUGAGUCGUACGUAUUCAGCACCACCAUACAGCGGAUGGAUUUCUUUAACCACUAACCAGCCACGGCCACUCGACGACCACUGCUUGGCUCUCGCUCUGAGGGAAACCCCUAGAUACGCAACAUCUCACUCCUUCCCGUGUGGAUCGGCAUGCGACAAACAUUUGUCAGCCGCUUCCACACCACCUUUCCGUAAGCUGCCUUGGCUAACGGACCAUAGGGAGGAUACCAGCCCCUAUUCAAGCCCUUAACCAUAAGAGGCAAGUGAAGGGGCUACCAUUCGCUCCUUCGAAGUCUUCCCAAAGGCUUCGACACCGUCCAUUUGUCGUGGCACUCCGCUAUGCUCGCCCUUAAGAGGGCACAGCACGCAACGCAGGGCUUGUAUCUCGCCCUACCGUUCCUGUACCAGCUGACGGAACACGUACCUGAAGCCGGUCUGGAAACGUUCUAACACGAACGUGUAUUCAACGUCUGAAAGCGGCUGCAGGCCCUAGCCCGGAACACCUAUCUUGUUCCACUCCUUAGGGAUGCCCUCCUCGCGCUCCGUAUGGUGUUCCUUUCCCCUUUCCUGUCGGUCACUCACCUGUACUACCAGUCAGUUCAAGGGUUGCUUGAAGCUAUUCAAGCGCGAGCACUAGGGCUCGAGGCCCCUGAAUGGUGUAAGUCAGGAGCCGCUCUACACACUAAACACCCCCGGGAGUAACGGGUGUUGUCACACUUGUCGCAUUCCCGUUCACGAAGCCCACACCCGACGGCCCGGUACACGCCCUGCUCACAGGCGUUCCGCUAUCGGCCCGGAACUGCGAUCGCUACCGGAUAAGGAGAGACCCUGUCGGACGUCCACACGGUGGACGCCGUAUCAGUCCUCUCGCCGGCAACUCCUGCUACGUUAGUCUCCCAAACGCUGCUCGCGGUUCACCGGUACCUAUUCGCUGGGCUCAACGCCACGGACGACAACAGCUGCAGCAGCAUCGUCCAUACUUAAUUAACUCGUUCGUAUAUGAAACGUACUAGAGUUCAACUACGUAUCGUACGUAAGUAGUAUACCAGUCAACGAUGAUAAUGAUGUAAUGUAUCAUCCCUGGCUCACCAGGCCAUUCAUCCAUGGGCUCGUACGAUCGUCCUACUCUCAUACCGCGGACGACCCCGUCCAUCUCUCUCGGUAACCCGUGAUCGUUUACCGAUCACCACUAAAAUCUAUUCUCUGCUCCGAGCAUUACCUCCAGCUUUUACACUCUCUUGAGAGCUACGUUAUCUAAUAACGCUCUCAACUCGGAACUACAAACCUCUGUGGGCCAAUAGGGCUCUCAUAAAGCCUCCACCUAAGCUAUCUAGCUUGUUACCACUACUUGGUGACAACGCUUUAACCAACUAGUUGCGGCUUGAACCGGACACCCGGAUCAUCAUGGAGCUUGACUCCACCUGCUCAACAACGAGCACACCGGCCGCACGUAUCCGAUUCGACGGACUACGAUCUGAAGCACGCUCUGCGACAUCUCUGGAUCUCGCGAGCUCAUAUUUAUGCGCACUUCACGCCAAAACUAAAUCGGCCAACCUACUUAACCGUCAUCGUGAAAUCGUCCCGAUUCACACUUCGCCCGGUAUCUAGUGAGCAUCCCGAUCACCGAACGUGAUCCACGGAUCCUCGGCCAUCUCACACAUCGAGCCAUCUCACACAGCACAUCCUGCUGCAAUCGCCCAUCACGACCCCUGCUGGGCACGGACCUGGGAAGCACCUGACACCUCGGACCCGGGUAAACCGUCCGCGUCAGUCGACGCUCUCCGUCGCCGGGUUAUGGACAUCCAUCCCGCUUCUCAAAACCAGUCCUGCCAUCAGGCUCGAAUCUGGAACCUCACACCUUACGGUGCACAACCUAGCACUUUAGCUACUACGUGACUCUCACGCCAACACUGGGUUGGGCUCCUGAACUACACCAAACCCCUAGAACCAACGAGGAUCAACCUCACACACGCUUAAGAGGUUACUCUUAAAGCGGGUUACUACUAACCCAGAUGCUACGCUCGCUCUCUGCGAUACGCAUCACGCUGCCCAAAUCUGUCAUCCGGAUGCACCACAACCACUGGCGACCAGAUGGACACCUUCGGCUGCAUUAGCCAAAUCGGCUAUUGAGGCACCUCCUCAACCACGUUCCCUUCAUCUAAGAGUUUUACGCUCUCAACCUGAAGUGAGUUUUAGCUGAUUAACAGCUCACCCCCACGAAGCACUUUCGGCUUCUUCAGUUUACGUGGUUUUCACGUAAUGUUACCUCAGGCGCUCUCGUUUAUCACGUUCUUAAACGUGAACCGUUUGAACGAGAGCCCCUGGCCAGGGACCGCCCUCCCUGGCCAAGGGCUUGCAACAGAUGCGCUCGAACGAGAGCCCCUGGCCAGGGUCCUCCCUCCCUGGCCAACGGGGCUCCGACUCCCGACACCGUUCGCGCUCCGUUGGCCAGGGAUCCGGUCUCCCUGGCCAAGGGCUUGCGCACUCUAACUCCUCCAGGGAGACCCUGGCCAGGGUCCGUCCCUCUCUGGCCAGGGGCUCGUACUUUAAACGGGUCCGUCCGACCCAGUACAACCUCUCCAACCUCUCGAACUCCUAUUACGAGAAAAUACCUAAUUCUAAGCUCUACACGGCCUCAUCCGGUAGAGAAUUAUCUCGUUCCUAGGUUUACGCUAACCUCGUGAGCGUCACCCAGCUACGUGGUUACUACAACGAAGAUUCGCUAUAACCACUAGCUUAAUCUCACACUGGGGAUCUCCCUACCACUUUCACUGCUUCUCAGCAUUUAUUCUUUAUGCUUGAGAACCUAUCGGUUUCACCGCCUCGCGGCGAAACAACUGUGAGUCCACUAAGCUCUCCCGAAUGGGCACACACGACACAGUACCACCACCUGGUAUACUGAUAAUCACGCAAGAACUAUCGAGGUGUGGUACUCCUAUCGCCCAUCAGGGUCAGAGCUUCCUUCACCAAACCGGAAUCACCCGGUCAAUCACUUACCACACCUCCCGCAUCUCAGCAACUCAAAGCUGAAAGCGAUGGUGGGUCUUACUGCCUCUGGGUAUUACGUGAAAAACUGAAUGUGUGUCGUUUACACUCGCUUAAAUCAGAGUACAACAAGGCCAAAACCAAGAACACUACCAACUGUAGUUAAACACGCUUUAAAUGUGAGAGCCCUACGUAUUAACGUAACAUGGCGAACAGGGNGUAUACUACCACGGGGCCAUUAGGCGCGGCGCAAGCUGGACUACCUUGAGUAGAUCCCCGUGAAUGAAAGUAAAACUCUAUUGAUGUGAAAGUACUAAAUGACAAAGGACAGUAAUGAAUGCUUACUAGUUACAGUGUACAGUAGUACUUACACAUUUAUGCUUAUGUUCGUGCUUAUAGUAGUUGCCAUGCUUCUACCAUUCAGUUGAUUCAUUACUGUUGAGAUUAUGAUUACAUGUUGCUUACAUGUUCAUUAAUUGUUAGCAUUGAAAAUAUAUCAUGCAAAUUACUGCUUUUAUUUCCAUUUAGUACAUCAUGAGCCUAGUGGUGUAAUUCGCCGAGGCUGGCGGCUUACCCACUGGGAACUAUUGUUUAUAGUUCUCACGCCCUUUUGGAGGUUGUUUUUACAGAGCCUAGUACAGGAGAGGCUAGGGAUCGUGGCAAGGGAGUCGCGCCUAGCUAGGGACUACUAGGAGCGUGCUAGUCCAUCACCUUGCUACUCGGGCUACGGCCGAGGGUGAUGUCCCUAUGUAUAGAGAGACCACCGUUGUACCUAUUUAUUUUUGUAUACCCGUGAUGUAUAUUUACUGUUUGGACCAGAUACUAUAGUUGUGAUCUCUUCUCCUUUUUGCUGAGAUUUUGGAUUGUAUACUCUUUGUACCUAUACUGAUAGUAUAUCGACUUGUACUUUGCUCUGAUAUCAGGAUAGGAUUUUACUAUACUUUUCUCCUAUCGACUUGUGUUCUUGUAGACGCCUUAUAUACUGCAGGUGUAUGGCGGGUCUGUGCACGUGCCGGAUAUGCUUCCGCUGGUACCCGGGCGUGACAUUUACUUGUUCAUUAAUCUCAUGGCUUACCCGAAUGCUCGCCUACAGCUCACUAGCCAUCUCGUCACAAGAUUUUAAACAGACCGUGAGCAUGAUCCAAUCCUCUAAGCUCGAGGAUACCCUGUCCUCUAGGGUUACAAUCAUCAUAUAGUCCAUAGGUUUCAUAUACACUAUGACUCACAUGGUUUCAUAUACACUAUGACUCACAUAUGUUACUCGUUCUUUUGUUUAUUAUCAACUAGAUGCCACUCGUUCUUUACAAGUUUCCAAUGCAAUAGCCAAUACAUUACUAAAUUCCCAUCCUCACUUAUCAUCUCAUUAUAGGGUUUCACAUCACAUAUAUAAACCUCAAGCAUGCUAGAUAUAAGUACGAAGCCAAAUACAUUAUUCUACAAAAGAACAUGCAAGGUAUUGAACCAAACCAUCAUUUAUCACCCUAUAAUGCAAGAUGUCAAUAUGCAAUUUGAUCAAUAUAAACUUAGACAUAAAAGGGAGCCCGAUUGCUUCGGGAUGGACACCACCCACCUUUUAUAGCGUUCCGAUUGCUCGUCGUCACUCGCAAUCGGCCUCCUGCGGCGCACGCCGCACGGCUCGACCCAACUCACGCGCGACUGCCAAAUGACCUCCUAUCCGCGAUCCGUCUGUUCUGGAGUUUAUUCCCCGACACCACGAUGCUACGAUUCCAUUUCCAUGAUUUUUGGAAGCUUUCGCCGCGAGCUGCGGCAAUCUGUACCUUAACGGCUUCGAUCCUCAAUAUCUCCGCGUACACUCGUCGGAUCGCCGAACCGAGCGCACCGUUGCGUUCGUAGACCUACCAAUUAGGUUUACAGAGUGUUAAAAGAGAUCAAACCCUCCUGUAAAUCAAAUCGCCAUUUUGGAGCCCUAGAUUUGUACUACGGCAAAAUCCACCAAAUUGAUCUCCAAUUCUUGCAAUAAACAUCUAUUAAGCUUGCUAGGAUUCAUCUAAAUCCAAUUCUAGAGCAAAAGGCUCAAGCCCUAGAGAUCUACCAUUAAUAAGCAUCAAGCUUACCUCUAGGUGUUAGCUCCAAGGUUGAGAGGAAGAAGAAGAUGAUGGUGGUGAUGAUGAUGCUUCUCUCCUUCUCCUCCCUUUUCUUCUUCUCCUUUUCCUUCUCCUCUUUCUUCUUCUUCUUCUUCACGUUAGAGAGGGAGAGAGGGAGGGGUGUUGGGUUCAUACGGUUGAGGGAGAGAGAGAAAUGGGCUAAAACCCACUUCUAUACACUCUCAUAAUGCUACAAAUGCAUAAAAACCCCUCAACUUUCACUUUAUUACAUUGCCCCCGCGGGGGCCAUUUUCGCGCUCGGGGACCGGUCCUUGCGGUGAGAGACCGGUCCCUGAGAGACCGGUCCUUGCGGUGAGAGACCGGUCCCCGAAGGUCCAGUACUCAGCCUCAAGGACUUAGCCAAAUUUCAGCCUUUUUCACCGUUUCUUCUCCGUUUUCGCCCGUUUUCGCUCGUUUGACCUCCGAUUCGUUUCAAAUCGAACCGAGACUCUUCAAACAUGUUUUCGAGCAUGUUUUCAUCAUCUUUUCAUCCACGCUAAUGCCGGAUUUAGCUCACGGCCCAAC